UACGUAGGGGGCAAGCGUUGUCCGGAUUUAUUGGGCGUAAAGAGCGUGUAGGCGGCCUGACAGGUCUGCUGUGAAAACUCGAGGCUCAACCUCGAGAUGUCGGCGGAAACCGUCUGGCUAGAGUCCGGAAGAGGAGAGUGGAAUUCCCGGUGUAGCGGUGAAAUGCGCAGAUAUCGGGAAGAACACCCGUGGCGAAGGCGGCUCUCUGGGACGGUACUGACGCUGAGACGCGAAAGCGUGGGGGAGCGAACAGG
rnacentral:rRNA from 1 species